rnacentral:rRNA from 1 species
UACAGAGACUGCAAGCGUUAUUCGGAUUCACUGGGCGUAAAGGGUGCGCAGGCGGCCGGGUGUGUAAGGUGUGAAAGCCCGAGCUUAACCUCGGAAUUGCGCCUUAAACUACUCGGCUAGAGUAUUGGAGAGGGUAACGGAAUUCACGGUGUAGCAGUGAAAUGCGUAGAUAUCGUGAGGAACACCAGAGGCGAAGGCGGUUACCUGGACAAUUACUGACGCUCAGGCACGAAAGCAUGGGGAGCAAAAGGG